AUUGAACGCUGGCGGCGUGGCUAAACAUGCAAGUCGCGGGAGAACUCACCUUCGGGUGAGGGACACCGGCGGAAGGGUGAGUAAUGCAUUCGAACGUACCCCAAGGUGGGAGAUAGGUCGGGGAAACCCGGCGUAAUACCCCACUGUCCUCUUCGGAGAAAAGCUUCGGCGCCUUGGAGCGGCGAAUGUCCUAUCAGGUUGUUUGGUGGGGUAACGGCCUACCAAGCCUUAGACGGGUAGCGGGUGUGAGAGCAUGACCCGCCACAUCGGGACUGAGACACUGCCCGGACUCCUACGGGAGGCUGCAGUAACGAAU
rnacentral:rRNA from 1 species